ACGCCUAACACAUGCAAGUCGAACGAAGUAGCAAUACUUAGUGGCAAACGGGUAAGUAAUAUGUGGGAAUCUACCCUUCGGUCUGGAAUAACAUGAGGAAACUUAUGCUAAUACCGGAUAAGCCUUUACAGGGAAAGCUUUAUGCUCCGAUUGAUGAGUCCACACUUGAUUAGUUAGUUGGUGGGGUAAUAGCUCACCAAGACAAUGAUCAAUAGCUGAUUUGAGAGGAUGAUCAGCCACAUUGGGACUGAGACACGGCCCAAACUCCUACGGGAGGCAGCAGUGGGGAAUCUUGCACAAUGGGGGAAACCCUGAUGCAGCGAUGCCGCGUGAGUGAAGAAGGCCCUUGGGUUGUAAAGCUCUUUCGUCGGGGAAGAAAAUGACUGUACCCGAAUAAGAAGGUCCGGCUAACUUCGUGCCAGCAGCCGCGGUAAUACGAAGGGACCUAGCGUAGUUCGGAAUUACUGGGCUUAAAGAGCACGUAGGUGGUUAAAAAAGUUGGUGGUGAAAUCCCAGAGCUUAACUCUGGAACUGCCAUCAAAACUUUUUAGCUAGAGUAUGAUAGAGGAAAGCAGAAUUUUUAGUGUAGAGGUGAAAUUCGUAGAUAUUAAAAAGAAUACCAAUUGCGAAGGCAGCUUUCUGGAUCAUUACUGACACUGAGGUGCGAAAGCAUGGGUAGCGAAGAGGAUUAGAUACCCUCGUAGUCCAUGCCGUAAACGAUGUGUGCUAGACGUUGGAAAUUUAUUUUCAGUGUCGCAGCAAAAGCAUUAAGCACACCGCCUGGGGAGUACGACCGCAAGGUUAAAACUCAAAUGAAUUGACGGGGACCCGCACAAGCAGUGGAGCAUGUGGUUUAAUUCGAAGAUACGCGCAGAACCUUACCAACACUUGACAUGUUCGUCGCGACUUUAAGAGAUUAAAGUCUUCGGUUCGGCCGGACGAAACACAGGUGCUGCAUGGCUGUCGUCAGCUCGUGUCGUGAGAUGUUGGGUUAAGUCCCGCAACGAGCGCAACCCUUACUUUUAGUUGCCAUCAUUUAGUUGGGCACUCUGAAAGAACUGCCAGUGAUAAGCUGGAGGAAGGUGGGGAUGACGUCAAGUCCUCAUGGCCCUUACGUGUUGGGCUACACACGUGCUACAAUGGCAU
rnacentral:rRNA from 1 species